CUGCUCACUUUGGCAGCACAUACACUAAAUCUGUAAUGAUACAGAGAAGAUUAGCUAAGUCCCUGUACAAACAAAGAUGACAUGUAAAUUCAUGAAGCAUUCCAUAAUUAA